UACGGAGGGUGCGAGCGUUUGUCCGGAAUCAUUGGGCGUAAAGGGCGCGUAGGUGGCCUGGUCAGCGUGCGGUGAAAGCUCGGGGCUCAACCCCGAGUCGGCCGUGCGAACUGCUGGGCUGGAGCACUGUAGAGGCAGGCGGAAUUCCGGGGUGUAGCGGUGGAAUGCGUAGAGAUCCGGAAGAACACCGGUGGCGAAGGCGGCCUGCUGGGCAGUU
rnacentral:rRNA from 1 species